AAAAUGUUUAGUUUAUUGGAUUGGUGAGAAGCGGUGGUCGAUUGUAAGCACAUCUGCGUUGAUUAGAGAAUGACAUGCCUGGCGAUUGCAUACAUACCAAAUUCCAGGGAAAAUGGCAUCCUUCGUUGAUAAUUGCAAGUGGCCAUGUGCAUUUUAGUUUUAUUCUAAAAUGAUCUGAGAUAGACCAAAAUGAUCCACAGCUGACCAAAGUGACGACGCCACUGUUGCUCCUACAGACGACAGUAUAACAGUCACAUCUCAAUACACAUGGAAAGGAGGAGGGAUGGGAGAGAGUCACAAAGGCCCUGAAUGACAAGGUUAGGAAGCAAAUAGUCAAGCUGGAAUAAAGAGGCUGUGCUGACAUGGACACAUACGUCUUGACAAAUUUCAAUGUUUUAAUAAAACUUGGAUUAAGUACUUAGUUUUGUUACAGUUAUCCUUAGGUGGGUGAAGUAAAAGUGAAAUAUAUACUUUUGUUCUUCUGUAAUUUGAAUAAUUAUGCAGUCACAAAGCACAGUGCAAAGUUUGUACACUUUUGUUAGCUUACCUGAGCCAAAGACUCAUGGUGAGCUUUUGUGACCGCUUAAUGUCCGUUGUCAGUUGUCCAGUUGUGUGUCGUGCGUCCGUCAACAUUUCAGUGGAAUACUGCUGGUAUGCCACUGGUAU